rnacentral:rRNA from 1 species
AUUGAACGCUGGCGGCAUGCCUUACACAUGCAAGUCGAACGGUAACGGGCCUUCGGGUGCCGACGAGUGGCGAACGGGUGAGUAAUGUAUCGGAACGUACCUUUCAGUGGGGGAUAACGUAGCGAAAGUUACGCUAAUACCGCAUAUUCCGUGAGCAGGAAAGCAGGGGAUCGCAAGACCUUGCGCUUAUUGAGCGGCCGAUAUCAGAUGAGCUAGUUGGUGAGGUAAAGGCUCACCAAGGCGACGAUCUGUAGCGGGUCUGAGAAGAUGAUCCGCCACACUGGAACUGAGACACGGUCCAGACUCCUACGGGAGGCAGCAGUGGGGAAUUUUGGACAAUGGGGGCAACCCUGAUCCAGCCAUGCCGCGUGGGUGAAGAAGGCCUUCGGGUUGUAAGGCUCUUUCGGCCGGGAAGAAAUCGUAUCAGCUAAUACCUGGUGCGGUUGACGGUACCGGCAUAAGAAGCACCGGCUAACUACGUGCCAGCAGCCGCCGUAAAAC